rnacentral:rRNA from 1 species
CCUACGGGGGGCUGCAGUGAGGAAUAUUGGUCAAUGGGCGCUAGCCUGAACCAGCCAAGUAGCGUGAAGGAUGACUGCCCUAUGGGUUGUAAACUUCUUUUAUAUGGGAAUAAAGUGCAGUAUGUAUACUGCUUUGCAUGUACCUUAUGAAUAAGGAUCGGCUAACUCCGUGCCAGCAGCCGCGGUAAUACGGAGGAUCCGAGCGUUAUCCGGAUUUCUUGGGUUUAAAGGGAGCGUAGGCGGGUUGUUAAGUCAGUUGUGAAGGUUUGCGGCUCAACCGUAAAAUUGCAGUUGAUACUGGCAGCCUUGAGUACAGUAGAGGUAGGCGGAAUUCGUGGUGUAGCGGUGAAAUGCUUAGAUAUCAUGAAGAACUCCGAUUGCGAAGGCAGCCUGCUGGACUGUAACUGACGCUGAUGCUCGAAAGUGUGGGUAUCAAACAGGAUUAGAUACCCCAGUAGUC